rnacentral:rRNA from 1 species
UACGAAGGGGGCUAGCGUUGUUCGGAAUUACUGGGCGUAAAGCGUGCGCAGGCGGUUAUUUAAGUCAGGUGUGAAAGCCCUGGGCUUAACCUAGGAAUUGCGCUUGAGACUGGAUAGCUUGGAGUGCGGCAGAGGGAGGUGGAAUUCCACGUGUAGCAGUGAAAUGCGUAGAGAUGUGGAGGAACACCGAUGGCGAAGGCAGCCUCCGUCGGCAGCACUGACGCUCGAUGCACGAAAGCGUGGGGAGCAAACAGG